rnacentral:snRNA from 1 species
GCCGCUCACGCCCGGUCGUACU